rnacentral:rRNA from 1 species
CCUACGGGAGGCAGCAGUGAGGAAUAUUGGUCAAUGGGCGCUAGCCUGAACCAGCCAAGUAGCGUGAAGGAUGACUGCCCUAUGGGUUGUAAACUUCUUUUAUAUGGGAAUAAAGUGCAGUAUGUAUACUGCUUUGCAUGUACAUUAUGAAUAAGGAUCGGCUAACUCCGUGCAAGCAGCCCCGGUCAUACAGAGGAUCCGAGCGUUAUCCGGAUUUAUUGGGUUUAAAGGGAGCGUAUGCGGGUUGUUAAGUCAGUUGUGAAAGUUUGCGGCUCAACCAUAAGAUUGCAGUUGAUACUGGCAUCCUUGAGUACAGUAGAGGUAGGCGGAAGUCGUGGUGUAGCGGUGAAAUGCUUAGAUAUAACGAAGAACUCCGAUUGCGAAGGCAGCCUACUGGACUGUAACUGACGCUGAUGCUCGAAAGUGUGGGUAUCAAACAGGAUUAGAUACCCCAGUAGUC